CAAAAGCUGAAUCCAGGACAUUUUGUACGAUCUCGACGGCCAGACAUGUCCAGGAAAAAGAGGAUGUUACUCAGCUUUCUCCACAGAACAAGAGCCUGCUAGCUUAGCUUCCAAAAAAAGAUGGCUGACACUGUGUACAUUUUGUGAGUGAGAUCCCACCCUCUAUGGGCGGGUUGAGAACAUGCGGGACAGCCUCUACUACUGGCUGUAGUCUUUAGCCUCUGGCCAAAAAAUCCUCCGAUGACGCAAAAUGAGAUUUUUCGGA